rnacentral:lncRNA from 1 species
GAGGUAUCACCUAGCCUCUUCAGAUGCAGCGACUUCUUUGUGCCAGUCAGUGCUGCACUGAGAGCAGCUUGACCUGCAGCGGUGGUGUUAGCAGCAGCAGUAAGCUGACUUUGACACUGCAGGAACAGCACAAGUCAUUGUUGGGUCUGCUCCAGCCAAUAAACAGGAGGGGGGUGCAGAUCCGGCGGGUACGUAAACUGAGUCUGGCACAAGCCCUAAACACUAGCCUUGCAUUUGGACAUCAAUAAGGUCAAUAAGCUGGAUAUAAAGAGGUCAUUUCAGGAAAGGCACAAGCAAUCUGAAAGCCCUGUGCUGGGAUGGUGGUUUCCCAAAAUGGAAGCAGCCUGGAUCACCGAGUCACUGCAUGGAGGAUAGCUGCCCUAAAGACACACCCAACCCACACUGGAAUUUUCAUGAGCAAGAAAGAAAUCUUUAUUGUGGAAUGUUCCAUGCAGUCCUGUGGUUAGUCACAAAGCCUGAAGAUGAUAAACGUACUACAGCAUCGGCCAGUGUUUCCCUUCCAGGACCAGAAGUGGACGGAGCCUGAGCAAGCAGAAAAUAAUAAUACAGCUGGCAGCCUGGCAAGGGGCCAUAAUGAAACGCCUCCGAGUAGUCCUUAUUUCUGGAGCAGCCCUCCCUUCCCACCCCGCCUCACUUGCUGUGCUGGUCUGGGCACAGGGAUAGGGCCUUCCAUGUCCCUGUCCAAGGGAAGCCAGGGUAGUUUGCGAUCUUAAACACAGGGAAACACGGAAGUCAGCCUGCUCUGCCUCUGGCUCCCAAGGGGAAUUCCCAGCAGCUGUUUAAUAGAGUGCAUGCCCACCCAACAUUAUAUAAUUGUUCGAGGCGGGAUGAGAUGAGGUGAGAAAAAAUAAAAGAAUGAAUGACUCCUGUGAGAUUGCAGACAGUUGAGUAACCAGGUGGCAUGCUUCCCUUAAGGAAUGUUCUAGUGUGAUUGGGGAGUAAGUGUGAGAAGUGUUGUAGCAUCCUUGUGUUUUAGGGGAAUGAGGACUAGCCAGGGGCUUCUGCUAAGUAGGCAGUUUCCUUUGGGCUGGAGCUGGGACAAGUAUUUCCAGCUCAAAGCACCAGGGGACACUGUGGCAGAAGGAAGGGACAGAAGAG